AAUUGGCUUUCUCCCUCCUCUCUCUUCCUGCAAGUCAAUGGAACCGUCCAAAAUAAGCAGUGAGACAACAGUCUUCUUUCCCUUUCCUUGCCUUCUUCUUCUUCUCUCCUUCUCUGUAUCAUACAGAUCAAUUCCAUUUCGAGUUUGGAUUCGUAAGCACGGUCUACUUCUCUUUCAAAAUUCAAAUCCCAGAUCUCAAAAUCUCAUUUCAAAUUUCAAAUCCCUCUUCCUCUCUUUCUCUCUUUCUCUCUCUCAAAGAUUCCGAGAUCUCGAUCUUCCUUCACGGUUCAUGUUGUUCAGGCAUUCGCCUUAUUCGCCAUCUGGAUCUUCCCUCACGGUUCAUGCUGUUCAGAUUCCGAUUCCGAUCUGGAUCUUCCCUUUCGAAAUUCAUGUAUUUUUGUGGUGGAUCUUCCCUUUCAAAAUUCAUGUAUUUUUGUGGUGGAUCUUCCCUUUCAAAAUUCAUGUUGUAAACAGCUUCAAUCAGCACCACCGUAUUUGUUAAUUUACCUUUUGUUGCAUUUUUUGUUUACUUUUAUUCUUAGGGUUUCCUGAAUAUUUGUUCUAGGUUUCGUGUUUGGUUGAAUUCAAGAAGUUGGAGAGACUAGACCUCACCUUCAAUAAUCUUUGAUGUUCAUCAUUAGGGUUUCCGUCGGUAUUCAACUUCAAUUUACGAUUCUAUUGUUUCUUGUAAUCCACGAGAAGGCUGUGAAUCUGUUGUUUGAGAAGAGGCCGGAGCAGUUUGGAAUCGGCGUUUGAUUGUUGUUUCGAAUCGAAGGUGAAGUGGACCUUGCUGAAUGGGGUUUAACAUCUCCAAAAUUCGUUUACUAAUGUUCACUUUGGUUAGUUUGCCAACUGAAAACACAGGGAGUGUGAUUGGUGGAGGCGGUGUAAAUAUCAAUACUUGAAACUAGAGGUGCACAAAUUGGGUUGUUUUAUAUCCGGUUCCGGGCAUGAUCAGGUUUUGAGAGAAACCAUGUAGGAUUCAGGUUGUGACUGAUGUGGAAGCAGGAGGAAACAAGGGUGUGUCUGACAAGAGGUGGUGACAAAUCUAAAGAUAGGGAACAUAUGGAUCUGAGGUAAACUCAGAAAAGUGGUUAAUAUGGCGGAUUUGAACUCAAGAUACGGAUGAUACUGCAUUUGUGACAGCACCAACAAAUGUGAUGGGAAUAUCUAGAUCUGAGAAAUUGAUUGAAAGAUACCUGAUUAGAGCUGCUCAAUAGAGUUACAUGUUCUGUCAUAUUCUUUUUGGCAUUUACAACUUAACACAUAUUGCCUCUGGGUGAGACCUGUGCGCCCGAGCAAGGGAAAGAAGCAGUGUUAGCAAGGUACAUGCUUUUAAUCAUUAAUAUUCUGGCGAUGUGUACAGAAAACAAGAAUACGAUUGAUCAAAUCUAAUAAGCUACAAAUUUGGUUGUUUCUUCUUCUAUGAGUACGGUUCUGAGGGAUACGACGAUAGCUCUUGGCCGUUGCAUACUAAAAAUGGCAGGCAUGGUGGCGAGGUACGAUUGAUUUAUCCACAUGCAAACAGUUAUUUGCCAUCAGCAAUUGCACCACAUGUGUCUAUGUACUCUGCACCGCUGCAAUCUUCCUCCAUGAUUUAUCCACCUGUCUCCACCGGAGCUUAUCCUAUGCCGCCCGUAUACCCACCACUGGCAGCUCCUUAUCCCCCUCAGCCAUACCCUCCAGCUCAACAGCCAUAUGGCUCCCACUAUUCUCAUGUUUCUUCAUUGGAUUAAGGAGUACUAUAGAACCAACUUAAGAGACUAUCUUUCUUAGUGCAACUAACAGAUGAUCUUAAUAGUUGCUUAGUCGAGACGCAAUCUCCGGCAUGCUAGCCGACCACCACCGAAGAUCCCGGUACCGGCCAGCCCUAUCAAGAUUUGGGAGCACCUAAUCCUAUGAUAUUUAUUAUAAAGAAAGCAAGUAAUUAUUCAUUAUGCAGACCUUCUUUUUGUAUACUGUCAAUACUCUUUUAUGUUUAGUAUUUUUUUUGUAUUUUCUUUAUUGCAAAAAGCUAUGGUUCUUUUAAAAUGUAGUUGAUCAAGUACCUAUUAAAGUCAAACUUCCUUUC